AGAUGUAGGAAACCCGAAAAGAUACAUGUGCGGAAUUCAGAGAUCUCUCAGAUAGCUGAUGUAGCAGAAAGUGUAGUAGACUCGAACUAGACACUUUUCCAACGGCUCCGCCGGCCAGAUAAAGUUGGAUCACCGAAAUAAGUCGCGCUGGCAAAUCAAUUCUGCAAUCAUUUAAUCCCCAUUUCGAGCGUAUCUCGUAGCGUAAGGAGGGUGCCGUGCACAUUUUAUAGCUUCGAACUCGGCGGUGGAUCGAGGGCCUUGUGGAGGGCUGUGAGUGGGGAGGUGGGGGCUGGCCAUGGAAAGACGCACAUGGCAGUGGCGGGGCAAGCUUGUUGAUAAGCGGAAUUUGAAUAAAUGUGGGUUUAUUUUUUUCGUCUUUCCAGCACGCGAUAUGAACAAAGGCAGUGUUAUAUGGCGCUGGGACUUGAAGUCGUAUAUAAAUAAAAUACAUAUGUAUUUAUAGUUGUCUGACUGGAAUGCGAGAGUGUUUGACUCAACAACCCAGUUUGAAUUCGAUCCCGUGAAAAAAUAGCAUUUCGAAUCGAAUCCCGUACUGGCCACAUGUUCUGAUAUCCCCAGAAGUACAGAAGUCCCGUGAUAACGGAAUCCAUUAAAUGCCCAUUUAAAAAGAGUUAUUUUGAAUCUGGCGAGAUCUUAUCGGGUCCUCCAUAAAACCAUAAACCGUUGCUGCGGCCAGGGCUUGGGCCACUUGUCCUAUCGGUCUGCCACUUUCCUAUAAAUACAAUAUUUUUCUGGGCCAGUAAAUAUUCUUUGUUUUUGCCACAAGUAUGGCUCAUUUCUGAAAGCGAUUUGCGUUCUUUAAAAUAGGUCUAUAAAUAAAUAACGUUAGUUGUAAAUAAAAC